AUGUCCAGAAGAGUGGAGGUGAUCCUCAACUCCUCAGCUCCGCAGGAUCCGGCCGAGCCUCCUCUUCACAUCACCGAGUCCAAGCCCGGAGAGCAUCCAGGAGUGAAGGGCUUCCUGAUGAUCAAGCCGGCGAUCCUGGGGUGGCUGGAGAUCCUGACCGGUGCCGGGGUGUUUGGACUCGUCUACUGGAACUACACUCUCUGGCUCUUAAUACCGGCUUCUUUUGUGAUUUUAAUCGGCGUGAUAACGGCGACAGCUGCGUGCUCACACAACCCCUGUCUGGUGGUCACUUCUCAAGUGCUGAAUCUGCUCAACAUCUGCAACGUGCUGACGGCCGUCGUCGUGUUCUUCGUCCAGGUCUUAUUCGUGUUUCUCGGAGAUAUGGUUGGAGCUGCGCUGCGAACACAUUUCGUGAGCGGCCGCUCCGAGAGUCCCUCGUCUCAGACCGCAAACAUCGCCUUCAUCGCUUGUAAUGUUCUGGCGCUCAUCUUCUCUCUUCUCAUCAUCGUGACGUCGUGCUGCUGGUGUAGAUCGAGGAAGCGUCUGAUGGUGAUCCACAUGAACCCAGCUCCAUCUGCAGAUCUCAGUGAUGAGCUGGAGUAUCCGUGUCUAGAACUCUCACCGCCAGCCUAUAGUCCGGUUCCUUCUUCAGAACCGCCGGCCUACGAGGAGGAACGACGCUCCACUCUUUCUGGAGUUUCUACUCAGAAGUGGGCCAUGAGGAAAUGGAAAGAAGAACUGAGGCGCAGCAGAAGAACCAUCCAAGUCUGA
rnacentral:lncRNA from 1 species